rnacentral:lncRNA from 1 species
CGGCCGCGGCCCUUAACGCCUCUUCUCCCCACCCCAGGCCCCGGCAACCACAACUACUGCCGGAACCCGGACCAGGAUCCGCGUGGGCCCUGGUGCUACAUCAGCAGCGAGACUGGCGUCCCUGAAAAGCGGCCCUGCGAGGACUUGCGUUGCCCAGAGACCACUUCCCAAGCACCACCACCACCACCACCGUCCUCUACAACGGAGCUGGAAGAGAAGUUUGGUGUGCCCGGUGACAAAGAGACACAGGUGUUCCCUCCUGCUAACGCCCUGCCAGC